CCUGGACUCGCUGUACUGGCUUCCAGGGUAUGUCUGUCGAAACACCUCUGAGUCCCCUGUACCCUCAUGUCUUUCUAGGACUUGUUGCCCAUUCCCCAAGUUGGUGGCCGGCUCGGGCCGUGGCAGGGGACCGAGUCUCUCAGAAAUCCUUGGGUCAUUGAUCUUUGAGCUUAUAUGGAUGGAAUUCUCUCGACGUUGCUUUAGGAAAUCCCGACAAUCGCGAAAAACGGCUUUCGAUCCUUCUGCCCCUUCAGCAAAGAGGUGUCUCCCUCCGCUUCUCAUGGUUCGGGUCGAAGCAACCGGGUUAAGAGAAGCCUCAUGUUGAUUAUCAAAUCGAGGGGUAAUUUGUUCCCUAUCAGGGAUAUCUAUGUCGAAUGCAUGUGACCCUCCAUGCUGGAGGGCACCCAGUUGAUGGUUGACUUCCACGGGGGCAACAAGCUCG
rnacentral:lncRNA from 1 species